rnacentral:rRNA from 1 species
GUAGGUGGCAAGCGUUGUCCGGAAUUAUUGGGCGUAAAGCGCGCGCAGGCGGUUCUUUAAGUCUGAUGUGAAAGCCAACGGCUCAACCGUGGAGGGUCAUUGGAAACUGGAGAACUUGAGUACAGAAGAGGAAAGCGGAAUUCCACGUGUAGCGGUGAAAUGCGUAGAGAUGUGGAGGAACACCAGUGGCGAAGGCGGCUUUCUGGUCUGUAACUGACGCUGAGGCGCGAAAGCGUGGGGAGCAAACAGGAUUAGAUACCCUGGUAGUCCACGCCGUAAACGAUGAGUGCUAAGUGUUAGGGGGUUUCCGCCCCCUUAGUGCUGCAGCUAACGCAUUAAGCACUCCGCCUGGGAGUACGGCCGCAAGGCUG